UUCCCCCCUAUAUUCCAUCUUGUAUUCUGAUCACGCUCCACUGCGACACCGCAGCACCAAUCCAUUGCAUUAAUCUUGGCCUUUAACGUGCUGACUGGCAAAGCAAACUGACUUUUGAGGUGGGCACCUGAGAGAUUCCCUACUUCCACGUCCACCUGGAUGGACACUGAGAUCACAUUCAGAAGCUCUUCUUGGGGUUCUAUCAGAGGUGAAGUGCGUAGCAACCAGGGAGAGGGCCUUCUCUGUGGUGGCUCCCCUUCUGAUGAACAUUGCUCCCUGAAAAGUAGACCUAGCCAUCUGCUUUCAUAUCAUUCUGGUGCCAGGAUAGGGUGCGGUUGUACUUCCUCCCACAUUCGCUGACAGUGGUGACUCACAGAUCCACAGCAAAGGCAGGGAGGAACUUUCCUGAAACUUUAAAGGAACAGCGGAAGCAAGGCCUCCUUACCCCAAUAGCUUUCACUUUCAGGGAAUAUGGUUCUAAUCAAUUUCCGUCUCCGAGAGCGCUGCUGGAUUUUUGUGAAUCUCUGCUCAUUUGACAAGUGAGCAUUAUAUUUGCAAGUUGAUCGGCAAGCCAAAACAUGCUCUCGCUCAUUCAUAACACUGAACUCUUCUGCGUUAAACAGCCGAUUAGUGUGAAUGGAGUGGGUGUGGAACUUCCUUGAAAUCUUCCAGAGACCUGUCAAAGCAAAGCUACCGCCACACAGUUCUCGCCGUGAAGCACAGAGAUCACAGGUGUAACUGAAAUGUGCUCUUUCAUGCAGAAAUUGGAGCAGGAUCUGCUUGUAAUAUGCAAAGAGUUGUUUUGGUUUAAGAAGUGAGUAUGCAGUGAUCUAACCCUUUGUCUUUCCGGUUAUCCAAAUUCCUCUUAUGGCAUAUUGAAUAUGCAAGAACGGCAGUGCACAAGAGACUUCUUCUAAUAACUCAACUAUUUAUUGCUCAUACUUCAUUGGAAAGGUCUUCCGAAAACUGCAUUUGGUGUAAUGGCAACUAGUGUAAUGGCAACUGCUACUAG